GUGGCCUUCAUGGUGAACAAAACACGUAUGUAUGCUAGAAGCACUCAUCUGGGGGGAGGGGCACCUUAGAACAUGAGGAAGGUGGCACUUUCUUGCUGAUUUAAUAUGGAGCACCAGAUGGUUUCCAGUUUUGUCCUUGGAAGUAGCGUAGAAAAUUUAUUGCCAGAAAGUGACUUACAGGUAUAGUCAUGAGACCAGGUACUGCAGUCCCAGUAAUAAACCAUAUUACCAUAAGUUGAUGGAGGUUUGUUUGCAAGGGACCUGGGAUGUCUAUAUGUCAAAUGGCUGUUAGUAUUGUGAGUGUGUCAAAAUCCUGAGCAUUUAUCUGACCUACCUCAUAGAUGACACCGAGGACCCUAUGGAGAAACGGCCCAGCAUCAAUGCUCAAAAAGCAGCUCUCUACUAUGAUCAGGUAAUUACUUUUUACUUAUUUGUGAAAAGUAUAUUUUCAUAUCCUGCUUUUUGAAAGAAUACAAAUAUGAACAUCUACAAAGUUCAACAGAGGGCAUACUUAGGAUUAUCCUUGGUUAGAUGCAUAGUGAAUGACUAUCUAUCUCAAGGCAUGAAAGUUUCUAGAUGUCAUUAAGCAAAAGGAAAGCAGCCUUAAGAAGCUGGCUGAGAGCAAUAUUAUCAGCAGAGAAUUGCCCUCCUUGCAAGAGAUUUUGGUGAUUUGGUGUCAAAGUACACAUAAGAAUUCCUCCACGGAGAUUUGAAGCCUCUGUCCAGGAUGACCUCUGUGUUCUCUUUGGGACCAUGGACUCGAGGCGUGUUUCCCUUUUGGGUUUUGAUGGACAGAAAGACCAUGACAAUUCUUGUGUCCAUAGAGACCAGGAAGCUGAGAUCUCACACUGUUUUCUUGCACUAGAUGAUGACCAGUGAAACGACUAAUGAUAAUGCAGUGACGUCAGAGAUCACGACUCCAGUGACGAACAAUCAGGUUGAAGUUGAAGAAGAAGCAUGCUGCUUCCCAACUGGAGGAAACCCUCCUGCGGUGGCAGAAGUAUCAACCUCUGGCUGUGUCGGAAGUUUUUUCUACUGGCGCCGCAAGCAGUUACACCCAACAGGAAAACUCUCACUAAUUUUGGAAGAGUCGUCAUCUUUCUCCACAUCGACGAAGGAGAAGACUAACAGCAGCGAAUUGAUUGUGAAGAGCGUUGGUAGCAACACUGAUGAAAAUUCAGAACACUACAUGGCAGAUAAUGAGAAUUCUGACCACAACUGUCAGGGUCAUAAGACACCAAAACGCUCCCUGUUCAUGCGUUUAAGAAAAACAUUUGGGGGGACAGCUUCCGAUGCUGAUGAUGAGCACACCUAGGAAGAACCAGUGUCAAUGUGGCAGACCGGGGGUGCAAAGAUUGUCAGUCCGACACCAGUGACAGCCUGGAUGUGGACACCCCCAGCCUGUCUCACAACCUCCAUACCAUCAGGACCUCCACAUAGACAAGCACAGCAGAAGCCUCACUCAAUGCUCACCUC
rnacentral:lncRNA from 9 species